rnacentral:rRNA from 1 species
UGAGGAAUAUUGGUCAAUGGGCGAGAGCCUGAACCAGCCAAGUAGCGUGAGGGAUGACUGCCCUAUGGGUUGUAAACCUCUUUUGCAGGGGGGUAAAGUGGUUCACGUGUGGACCAUUGCAAGUACCCUGCGAAUAAGGAUCGGCUAACUCCGUGCCAGCAGCCGCGGUAAUACGGAGGAUCCGAGCGUUAUCCGGAUUUAUUGGGUUUAAAGGGAGCGUAGGCGGGGGUUUAAGUCAGCUGUGAAAUGCCGUGGCCCAACCAUGGAACUGCAGUUGAAACUGGACCUCUUGAGAGUACAUAAGGAAGGCGGAAUUCGUGGUGUAGCGGUGAAAUGCAUAGAUAUCACGAAGAACUCCGAUUGCGAAGGCAGCUUUCCGGGGUACAUCUGACGCUGAAGC